CUACGGGCCGCUGCAGUGGGGAAUAUUGCACAAUGGGCGCAAGCCUGAUGCAGCCAUGCCGCGUGUAUAAAGAAGGCCUUCGGGUUGUAAAGUACUUUCAGCGGGGAGGAAGGGAGUAAAGUUAAUACCUUUGCUCAUUGACGUUGCCCGCAGAAGAAGCACCGGCUAACUCCGUGCCAGCAGCCGCGGUAAUACGGAGGGUGCAAGCGUUAAUCGGAAUUACUGGGCGUAAAGCGCACGCAGGCGGUUUGUUAAGUCAGAUGUGAAAUCCCCGGGCUCAACCUGGGAACUGCAUCUGAUACUGGCGAGCUUGAGUCUCGUAGGGGGGGGUAGAAUUCCAGGUGUAGCGGUGAAAUGCGUAGAGAUCUGGAGGAAUACCGGUGGCGAAGGCGGCCCCCUGGACGAAGACUGACGCUCAGGUGCGAAAGCGUGGGGAGCAAACAGGAUUAGAUACCCUUGUAGUC
rnacentral:rRNA from 1 species